rnacentral:rRNA from 1 species
AUACGGAGGAUCCGAGCGUUAUCCGGAUUUAUUGGGUUUAAAGGGAGCGUAGGUGGAUUGGUAAGUCAGUUGUGAAAGUUUGCGGCUCGACCGUCAAAUUGCAGUUGAAACUGGAAGUCUUGAGUACAGUAGAGGUGGGCGGAAUUCGUGGUGUAGCGGUGAAAUGCUUAGAUAUCACGAAGAACUCCGAUUGCGAAGGCAGCUCACUAGACUGUUACUGACACUGAUGCUCGAAAGUGUGGGUAUCAAACAGGAUUAGAUACCCUGGUAGUCCACACAGUAAACGAUGAAUACACGCUGUUUGCGAUAUACAGUAAGCGGCCAAGCGAAAGCAUUAAGUAUUCCACCUGGGGAGUACGCCGGCAACGGUGAAACUCAAAUGAAUUGACGGG